GACGAACGCUGGCGGCGUGCCUAAUACAUGCAAGUAGAACGCUGAAGGAGGAGCUUGCUUCUCUGGAUGAGUUGCGAACGGGUGAGUAACGCGUAGGUAACCUGCCUGGUAGCGGGGGAUAACUAUUGGAAACGAUAGCUAAUACCGCAUAAUAGUAGAUGUUGCAUGACAUUUGCUUAAAAGGUGCAAUUGCAUCACUACCAGAUGGACCUGCGUUGUAUUAGCUAGUUGGUGGGGUAACGGCUCACCAAGGCGACGAUACAUAGCCGACCUGAGAGGGUGAUCGGCCAAACUGGGACUGAGACACGGCCCAGACUCCUACGGGAGGCAGCCGUAGGGAAUCUUCGGCAAUGGACGGAAGUCUGACCGAGCAACGCCGCGUGAGUGAAGAAGGGUUUCGGAUCGUAAAGCUCUGUUGUAAGAGAAGAACGAGUGUGAGAGUGGAAAGUUCACACUGUGACGGUAGCUUACCAGAAAGGGACGGCUAACUACGUG
rnacentral:rRNA from 1 species